GACGAACGCUGGCGGCGUGCCUAAUACAUGCAAGUAGAACGCAGUUGCGAACGGGUGAGUAACGCGUAGGUAACUGCCUCAUAGCGGGGGAUAACUAUUGGAAACGAUAGCUAAUACCGCAUACUUUGAGAUGGACCUGCGUUGUAUUGGCUAGUUGGUGAGGUAAAGGCUCACCAAGGCGACGAGACAUAGCCGACCUGGGAGGGUGAUGGGGCACACUGGGACUGAGACACGGCCCAGACGCCUAAGGGAGGCAGCAGUAGGGAAUCUUGGGGAAUGGACGGAAGUGUGACCGAGCAAAGCCGCGGGAGUGAAGAAGGUGUUGGGAUCGUAAAGCUCUGUUGUUAGAGAAGCGGUAACUAAACAGAAAGGGACGGCUAACUACGUGCCAGCCGCCGCGGUAAUAC
rnacentral:rRNA from 1 species